rnacentral:rRNA from 1 species
GAUGAACGCUAGCGGCAGGCUUAAUACAUGCAAGUCGAGGGGCAGCGGGAGUAGCAAUACUUGCCGGCGACCGGCGCACGGGUGCGUAACACGUAUGUAAUCUGCCCAUCACAGGAGGAUAGCCCGGAGAAAUUCGGAUUAAUACUCCAUAAUAGAAGAUAAAGCAUUUUAUUUCUUGAAAGUUCCGACGGUGAUGGAUGAACAUGCGACUGAUUAGUUUGUUGGUGAGGUAACGGCUCACCAAGACUACGAUCAGUAGGGGUACUGAGAGGUUAAACCCCCAGACUGGUACUGAGACACGGACCAGACUCCUACGGAGGCAGCAGUAAGGAAU